UUACAUAUGGAUCCUGCUGCUCGUCUAAAUUGUGAACAGUUGUUGGAUCAUCCAUACUUUGACAGCCUCAGAAAAGAACUGGAAAUGAGCAAGCAAAAAGCUCUGAAAAGGCGUGUAAAACCACCACGCAGAAAUGCACCAGCAUUGCAGUACUUACCACAACUUACCAGCAGCAAUAUACCUCCAUCCAUGGAAAGCAAGAAGUAUUUCAAGCAGAAAUAUAAUUACCAUCUACCUAAUAUUUAAGCAAGUGGCAUGAACACACCAAGUUAUAAAAGACACCAACUGAGGAAACCAAGUGUCCAAAAGAGAUGUUAAAGUUUUUAAAACUUUGGUGGGCGUUUAAAAUGGAGACUUAUCAUAAUGUUACCCAGCCUGAGAUUGUAUGCACUUUCUUUAAGUUUGUUAUUUUUCUUUUAGUGUGUUUAAAAUGAAUGAAAAUGAGCAUGUUCCAGAAGGUAUCUGGUCACAGGUUUCUUUUUAAAAUGUGUACAAUGUCUGUACAAAGAAACAGCACUGUAUUUUAUGCAUUACUACAUGCUAAAAUGUUUUAAACUGUAAGCCUAUUUGCUGGACAGAACACAAGUCACAUUAGCAUUUAGUAUCGUAACUUACCUAAGAAGUGCAAUGUUUCACUUACCAAAAGUUGACUGAGUCAAGAAUACUGCCAACAUUAGUCUCCUACAGCUAUGAGAUCACCAGGCCAAAGAUUCUUUUUAGCCUUUAUCUAACAACAUAUCACUGACUUUUUUUAGACUUAAAGCAGUGUAUUAAGGGAUUGAAAUAUUGGAUUCACAACCUGCAAACUCAACAGAAUUUUUUUAAAAAAUUGUUAUGCUUUCAGACCUCACCUGACUCCUGCAUGAAAUUAUUUGGAAUAGUGUGGUUUGCGUUUCUGAUGAGUUCUAAAACCACCUAUUUCAGCCAACUCCUUAAAAUACACUGCUGAAAAGUUUUCACUUCUUUACAUUCUUGCUCCAUUUAGAUUCCAACUCUAGUACAGUGCUCAAUGUAGUCAAGAACAGCUGUUUAGUCCAACAGAUAACCUAAAUUAAAACAAUUCAAUUUGGCUGCACAUAAAUAUUUCAUUUUAAAAUUAUCAAUUACUGGAUCAAAACUGCAAAUAAAUGUCAGUUCUUAACAUGCAAAAUUCAGUGUUCUGCUUACCAUGUAUUUGUAUGCAGGAGUGACUUAGCUUGAUACAAUUUUGAUAUGAAUAAAAUAAGCAGUUACAACAUUCAUUUAAAAAAUACACAAACUGAGAAUUAGCAUUGAAAAGCUGAUCUAGCAUAUUUGAAUCAAACAACUAAAAACUGUAGGUGUGCCUACUGUAAGUUCACUGCUUUUGUAAAAUCAUUGGUUUAUACCCUUAGAGAUAUCAUUGUCAUAGAUGUAUACUUGUGAACAGCUGAAACUAUAAACUGCAAAUAGAUUAUAAAAUCUGCAAUAUUUAUCUUCAUUGAUUUGAAAAUCUCGAUCUAUAUAUUGUAUACUUAGCCACAAAUCUGUUAGUACUGGAAUAAAUUGCACAUCCAGUUCAUCUAUAGCUAUGUGUACACUGCUCUACAUCAAAAAUGUUGAUUAUUAUAAAUACAAAUAAAUACAGAAACUACAAAGUGAAAAAUAA